rnacentral:rRNA from 1 species
CUCUAUGGUCAUAUCUCCCUGAACACAGCUGAUCGCUUCUGAUCUUGGAAGCUAUGCAGAGUUGGGGCCUGUUAGUGCUUGGAUGGGAGAAUUCAUCUAUAUGUA